AACGAACGCUGGCGGCAGGCUUAACACAUGCAAGUCGAGCGAGGACUUCGGUCCUAGCGGCGGACGGGUGAGUAACGCGUGGGAACGUGCCCUUUGCUACGGAAUAGCCCUGGGAAACUGGGAGUAAUACCGUAUGUGCCCGAGAGGGGAAAGAUUUAUCGGCAAAGGAUCGGCCCGCGUUGGAUUAGGUAGUUGGUGGGGUAAUGGCCUACCAAGCCGACGAUCCAUAGCUGGUUUGAGAGGAUGAUCAGCCACACUGGGACUGAGACACGGCCCAGACUCCUACGGGAGGCAGCAGUGGGGAAUCUUAGACAAUGGGCGCAAGCCUGAUCUAGCCAUGCCGCGUGAGCGAUGAAGGCCUUAGGGUUGUAAAGCUCUUUCACCGGUGAAGACAAUGACGGUAACCGGAGAAGAAGCCCCGGCUAACUUCGUGCCAGCCGCCGCAGUAAAAC
rnacentral:rRNA from 1 species